GGUAGUCGUAGCUCAGUUGGUUAGAGCAUCAGAUUGUGAUUCUGAGGGUCGGGGGUUCGAGCCCCCUCGAUUACCCCCA
rnacentral:tRNA from 1 species